GGUGUUCCCAGUCACCUGUGUCAAAGUGUUUUACAUUGUCUUACGUUCCAUGCCAGGAUUUAUAUAUUUUGUUUUUUCAUGCCAGGAAUUUUUAUUGAAUUGUCUUGCCAUGCCACGACUCAAGCCAAAGUUUUUGGUUGAUCCCUUGCCACACAAUCCAUGACUCAUGAACAUACUUUGAUGAUGACUUCCUCCACGGUCACAGAGCCACUCAGCGGUUGGUUGGGGCGAGUUUUGGUUUCCAAGGCCACCGAGCAGGGUCUCAACACCUAUUGGACAGAGUCAGACUGAUGAGUAGGGAACUGACUGAAGAAGGGUGACUUGCAGUGGUGAUGGCCUCGGACUCUUUGUUCCGGAUGAAGGGGCAGGCGAGGACUUUGAGCUCUCUCAGGUUGGCUCUUAUGUUCUGGGUACCAUCCUGGUCUUCCCGCAGGGUGAAGUCACACUGAAAUGAAGCCACAAGCGCAGGAGCAUCAGACUUCAUCAGGCUGGCCACGAACAUCACCUCUGGGUCCACCACCACUGCUCGAAGACAAGUCCUAACCGUCGAGGCUGCAGAGAGAAGAUGAGGUGGUUUUAUCAAUCGUUUGGAUUUGACUGCGGUUUUUAUUCCUGUUUUCACCUUGUCUGAAUUAUUUCAAUAAAUACAAAGAAA